UACGUAGGGUGCAAGCGUUGUCCGGAAUUAUUGGGCGUAAAGAGCUCGUAGGCGGUCUGUCGCGUCGGAUGUGAAAAAUCCAGGGCUCAACCCUGGACCUGCAUUCGAUACGGGCAGACUAGAGUUCGGUAGGGGAGACUGGAAUUCCUGGUGUAGCGGUGAAAUGCGCAGAUAUCUGGAGGAACACCGAUGGCGAAGGCAGCAGCCUGGCCCAGAACUGACGCUGAGGUGCGAAAGCGUGGGGAGCGAACGGG
rnacentral:rRNA from 1 species